CACUAUCAUUACCUGAAUACAUAGGGUAAUGAAGCGAACCGGGAGAACUGAAACAUCUAAGUACCCCGAGGAAAAGAAAUCAAACGAGAUUCCCCCAGUAGCGGCGAGCGAACGGGGAGCAGCCCAGGACCUUAAUCAGCAUCAGUGUUAAGAGAACAGUCUGGAAAGGCUGGCCACAGCAGGUGAUAGCCCUGUAUCUGAAAGCACUGGUGUUGUGAGUCCGAUGAGUAAGGCGGGACACGUGUUAUCCUGUCUGAAUACGGGGGGACCAUCCUCCAAGGCUAAAUACUCCUGACUGACCGAUAGUGAACCAGUACCGUGAGGGAAAGGCGAAAAGAACCCCGGCGAGGGGAGUGAAAAAGAACCUGAAACCGUGUACGUACAAGCAGUGGGAGCACCUUUAUGGUGUGACUGCGUACCUUUUGUAUAAUGGGUCAGCGACUUAUAUUCUGUAGCAAGGUUAACCGAAUAGGGGAGCCGCAGGGAAACCGAGUCUUAACUGGGCGUCUUAGUUGCAGGGUAUAGACCCGAAACCCGGUGAUCUAGCCAUGGGCAGGUUGAAGGUUGGGUAACACUAACUGGAGGACCGAACCGACUAAUGUUGAAAAAUUAGCGGAUGACUUGUGGCUGGGGGUGAAAGGCCAAUCAAACCGGGAGAUAGCUGGUUCUCCCCGAAAGCUAUUUAGGUAGCGCCUCGUGAAUUCAUCUCCGGGGGUAGAGCACUGUUUCGGCUAGGGGGUCAUCCCGACUUACCAACCCGAUGCAAACUGCGAAUACCGGAGAAUGUUAUCACGGGAGACACACGGCGGGUGCUAACGUUCGUCGUGAAGAGGGAAACAACCCAGACCGCCGGCUAAGGUCCCAAAGUCAUAAUUAAGUGGGAAACGAAGUGGGAAGGCUCAGACAGCCAGGAUGUUGGCUUAGAAGCAGCCAUCAUUUAAAGAAAGCGUAAUAGCUCACUGGUCGAGUCGGCCUGCGCGGAAGAUGUAACGGGGCUAAAUUAUGCACCGAAGCCGCGGCAGCGAUAUGUAAAUAUUGUUGGGUAGGGGAGCGUUCUGUAAGCCUGUGAAGGUGUGCUGUGAGGCAUGCUGGAGGUAUCAGAAGUGCGAAUGCUGACAUAAGUAACGAUAAUGCGGGUGAAAAACCCGCACGCCGGAAGACCAAGGGUUCCUGUCCAACGUUAAUCGGGGCAGGGUGAGUCGACCCCUAAGGCGAGGCUGAAAAGCGUAGUCGAUGGGUAACGGGUUAAUAUUCCCGUACUGGUGGUAACUGCGAAGGGGGGACGGAGAAAGCUAAAUCAUCCGGGCGACGGUUGUCCCGGUUUAAGCGUGCAGGUGGACUGACCAGGCAAAUCCGGUCGGUUGUUAACACUGAGGCGUGACGACGAGCCACUACGGUGGUGAAGUGAUUGAUGCUCUGCUUCCGGGAAAAGCCUCUAAGCUCCAGGUUACCAUUAAUCGUACCCCAAACCGACACAGGUGGUCAGGUAGAGAAUACUCAGGCGCUUGAGAGAACUCGGGUGAAGGAACUAGGCAAAAUGGUGCCGUAACUUCGGGAGAAGGCACGCUGGCAUUAGGUGAAGUGGUUUACCCAUGGAGCUGAAGCCAGCCGCAGAUACCAGCUGGCUGCAACUGUUUAUUAAAAACACAGCACUGUGCAAACACGAAAGUGGACGUAUACGGUGUGACGCCUGCCCGGUGCCGGAAGGUUAAUUGAUGAGGUUAGCGCAAGCGAAGCUUCUGAUCGAAGCCCCGGUAAACGGCGGCCGUAACUAUAACGGUCCUAAGGUAGCGAAAUUCCUUGUCGGGUAAGUUCCGACCUGCACGAAUGGCGUAAUGAUGGCCAGGCUGUCUCCACCCGAGACUCAGUGAAAUUGAACUCGCUGUGAAGAUGCAGUGUACCCGCGGCAAGACGGAAAGACCCCGUGAACCUUUACUAUAGCUUGACACUGAACAUUGAGCCUUGAUGUGUAGGAUAGGUGGGAGGCAACGAAGUGUGGACGCCAGUCUGCACGGAGCCAUCCUUGAAAUACCACCCUUUAACGUUUGAUGUUCUAACCCAGACCCGUAAUCCGGGUCGGGGACCGUGUCUGGUGGGUAGUUUGACUGGGGCGGUCUCCUCCCAAAGAGUAACGGAGGAGCACGAAGGUUGGCUAAGCAUGGUCGGACAUCAUGCGGUUAGUGCAAAGGCAUAAGCCAGCUUGACUGCGAGAGUGACGGCUCGAGCAGGUACGAAAGUAGGUCUUAGUGAUCCGGUGGUUCUGAAUGGAAGGGCCAUCGCUCAACGGAUAAAAGGUACUCCGGGGAUAACAGGCUGAUACCGCCCAAGAGUUCAUAUCGACGGCGGUGUUUGGCACCUCGAUGUCGGCUCAUCACAUCCUGGGGCUGAAGUAGGUCCCAAGGGUAUGGCUGUUCGCCAUUUAAAGUGGUACGCGAGCUGGGUUUAGAACGUCGUGAGACAGUUCGGUCCCUAUCUGCCGUGGGCGCUGGAAGAUUGAGAGGGGUUGCUCCUAGUACGAGAGGACCGGAGUGAACGCACCACUGGUGUACGGGUUGUGAUGCCAAUUGCAUUGCCCGGUAGCUAAGUGCGGAAGAGAUAACCGCUGAAAGCAUCUAAGCGGGAAACUUGCCUCGAGAUGAGUCUUCCCUGA
rnacentral:rRNA from 1 species